UACGGGGGGGGCAAGCGUUGUUCGGAAUUACUGGGCGUAAAGGGCUCGUAGGCGGCCAACUAAGUCAGACGUGAAAUCCCUCGGCUUAACCGGGGAACUGCGUCUGAUACUGGGAGGCUAGAGUGCGGGAGAGGGAUGCAGAAUUCCAGGUGUAGCGGUGAAAUGCGUAGAUAUCUGGAGGAAUACCGGUGGCGAAGGCGACUACCUGGCCUGUUCUUGACGCUGAGGCGCGAAAGCUAGGGGAGCAAACGGGG
rnacentral:rRNA from 1 species